rnacentral:rRNA from 1 species
GACGAACGCUGGCGGCGUGCUUAACACAUGCAAGUCGAACGAAGUGGCGAACGGGUGAGUAACGCGUAAUCAACCUGCCCUUCAGAGGGGGACAACAGUUGGAAACGACUGCUAAUACCGCAUAUCGAAGGAGGGGAUUGCGUCUGAUUAGCUAGUUGGAGGGGUAACGGCCCACCAAGGCGAGGAUCAGUAGCCGGUCUGAGAGGGUGGACGGCCACAUUGGGACUGAGACACGGCCCAGACUCCUAAGGGAAGCAGCAGUGGGGAAUCUUCCAGAAUGGACGAAAGUCUGACGGGGCAACGCCGCGGGAGUGAUGACGGCCUUCGGGUUGGAAAGCUAUGUUAAUCGGGACGCGGUACCUGAAUAGAAAGCCACGGCUAACUACGUGCCAGCAGCCGCGGUAAUUC